rnacentral:rRNA from 1 species
CCUACGGGUGGCAGCAGUGGGGAAUAUUGGACAAUGGGCGAAAGCCUGAUCCAGCCAUGCCGCGUGUGUGAAGAAGGCCUUCGGGUUGUAAAGCACUUUCAGUGGGGAAGAAAGCCUUGGGGCUAAUACCCUCGAGGAAGGACAUCACCCACAGAAGAAGCACCGGCUAACUCCGUGCCAGCAGCCGCGGUAAUACGGAGGGUGCGAGCGUUAAUCGGAAUUACUGGGCGUAAAGCGCGCGUAGGCGGUCUGAUAAGCCGGUUGUGAAAGCCCCGGGCUCAACCUGGGAACGGCAUCCGGAACUGUCAGGCUAGAGUGCAGGAGAGGAAGGUAGAAUUCCCGGUGUAGCGGUGAAAUGCGUAGAGAUCGGGAGGAAUACCAGUGGCGAAGACGGCUUUCUGGACUGACACUGACGCUGAGGUGCGAAAGCGUGGGUAGCAAACAGGAUUAGAUACCCUGGUAGUC